rfam:Fungal sp. No.14919 DNA, contig: Contig0020.
GCCCUGGUAGCUCAAUUGGUUAGAGCGUCGGACUUUUAUUGGCCUUGUGCUUAUGAAGAGUUAUCCGAAGGCUGCGGGUUCGACCCCCGCCUGGGGCG